rnacentral:rRNA from 1 species
UACAGAGGUCUCAAGCGUUGUUCGGAUUCAUUGGGCGUAAAGGGUGUGUAGGUGGCGCGCUAAGUCGGGUGUGAAAUUUCGGAGCUUAACUCCGAAACUGCAUUUGAUACUGCGGUGCUUGAGGACUGGAGAGGAGACUGGAAUUCACGGUGUAGCAGUGAAAUGCGUAGAUAUCAGGAGGAACACCGGUGGCGAAGGCGGUUCUCUGGGCAUGACCUGACGCUGAGGAGCGAAAGCGUGGGGAGCGAACAGG